rnacentral:rRNA from 1 species
ACGCGAAACCAGGUGAUCUACCCAUGGCCAGGUUGAAGGGACAGUAACAUGUCCUGGAGGACCGAACCCGUAUUCGUUGAAAAGAAUUGGGAUGAGCUGUGGGGAGGAGUCAAAGUCUAAUCAUACCUGGAUAUAUCUCGUUCUCCUCGAAAUAGUUUUUGGGCUAGCCUCACGUUACGGCGUUAAGGGGUAGAGCUACUGAUUGGGGCUGGGGGGCUACCCGCCUACCCACCCCAACCAAACUCCGAAUACUUAACGUUUUUGUCGUGGGAGUCAGACCGCGGGGGAUAAUCUUCGUGGUCGAGAGGGAAACAACCCAGACCGCCAGCUAAGGUCCCAAAGUUACAGCUAAGUGGGAAACGAAGUGGGAAGGCACAGACAGCCAGGAGGUUGGCUUAGAAGCAGCCACCCUUUAAAGAAAGCGUAAUAGCUCACUGGUCGAGUCGGCCUGCGCGGAAGAUGUAACGGGGCUAAGCAAUAUACCGAAGCUGCGGAUUUGACCUUAGGGUCAAGUGGUAGGGGAGCGUUGUGUAAGUGGCUGAAGGUGAACCGGGAGGUUUGCUGGAGGUAUCAGAAGUGCGAAUGCUGAC